CAUCCUCGUCGCCCUCGCCUUCGCCGCUGUGCUGGCCAUGGCCGCCGCCCAGUUCGGAUACGGAUAUCCGGGAUACGGCGUCGAGGACUCUGGAUCCUUCGGAAACGGAGGACUGUUGAUGUUGAUCGGUCUCCUCUUCCUGCUCACCGUGCUCUUCAACAACAGAACCACGACCACUACCGGUGGAGUCACCAUCGUCAACGCCUCGACUUCCGGUUAAAUAACGCUUUUGCAACCUGGCAGCUCCAAUACGCAAUUAAUCAACCAGAUCAUCUCUUUAUUCGUCUUUAACCACGUGCUGCACUCGGGUAUUUCCGCUUCCAGUCGGCCCAUUUCGGAC